UACGGGGGGAGCAAGCGUUGUUCGGAUUUACUGGGCGUAAAGGGCGCGUAGGCGGUCAGCACAAGUCAGUUGUGAAAUCUCCGGGCUUAACUCGGAAAGGUCAACUGAUACUGUGCGACUAGAGUGCGGAAGGGGCAACUGGAAUUCUCGGUGUAGCGGUGAAAUGCGUAGAUAUCGAGAGGAACACCUGCGGCGAAGGCGGGUUGCUGGGCCGACACUGACGCUGAGGCGCGAAGCCAGGGGAGCGAACGGG
rnacentral:rRNA from 1 species